GCUGGGCGUGGUUGUGCACACCUGUAAUCCCAGAGACCUGGGAGGCUGAGGCAAGAGGAUCGCAAGUUCAAGGCUAGCCUCAGCAAUUUAGCAAAGCCCUAAGGAACUUAGUGAGCCUCUGUCUCAA
rnacentral:sRNA from 1 species